UACGUAGGCAGCAAGCGUUGUUCGGAAUUACUGGGCGUAAAGAGUACGUAGGUGGUUUGCCAAGUCCGAUGUGAAAUCUCCUGGCUUAACUGGGAGGGUGCGUUAGAUACUGGCAGGCUUGAGUGUGGGAGAGGAGAGCGGAAUUCCUGGUGUAGCGGUGAAAUGCGUAGAUAUCAGGAGGAACACCAGUGGCGAAGGCGGCUACCUGGACCAGCACUGACACUGAGGCACGAAAGCGUGGGGAGCAAACAGG
rnacentral:rRNA from 1 species